rnacentral:rRNA from 1 species
GACGAACGCUGGCGGCGUGCUUAACACAUGCAAGUCGAACGAAGUGGCGAACGGGUGAGUAACGUGUAAUCAACCUGCCCUUCAGAGGGGGACAACAGUUGGAAACGACUGCUAAUACCGCAUACUGAAGGAGGGGAUUGCGUCUGAUUAGCUAGUUGGAGGGGUAAUGGCCCACCAAGGCGAUGAUCAGUAGCCGGUCUGGGGGGAGGAACAGGCACAUUUGGACUGGGGAACGGCCCAGACUCCUACGGGAGGCAGCAGUGGGGAAACUUCCGCAAUGGAGGGAAGUCUGACGGGGCAACGCCGCGUGAGUGGUGACGGCCUUCGGGUUGGAAAGCUCUGUUAAUCGGGGCGCGGUACCGGAAUAGAAAGCCACGGCUAACUACGUGCCAGCCGCCGCGGUAAUAC